rnacentral:rRNA from 1 species
UACGUAGGGGGCAAGCGUUGUCCGGAAUCAUUGGGCGUAAAGAGCGUGUAGGCGGCUCGGUAAGUCCGCUGUAAAAGUCAAAGGCUCAACCUUUGAAUGUCAGUGGAUACUGCCGGGCUAGAGUCCGGAAGAGGCGAGUGGAACUCCUGGUGUAGCGGUGGAAUGCGCAGAUAUCAGGAAGAACACCAACGGCGAAGGCAGCUCGCUGGGACGGUACUGACGCUGAGACGCGAAAGCGUGGGGGAGCGAACAGG